UACGGGGGGGGCAAGCGUUGUUCGGAAUUACUGGGCGUAAAGGGCGCGUAGGCGGCCUGCUAAGUCGGACGUGAAAUCCCUCGGCUCAACCGGGGAACUGCGUCCGAUACUGGCGAGGCUUGAAUCCGGGAGAGGGAUGUGGAAUUCCAGGUGUAGCGGUGAAAUGCGUAGAUAUGACAUAGAACACCAAUUGCGAAGGCAGCUUACUACACAGUGAUUGACACUGAGGCACGAAAGCGUGGGGAUCAAACAGG
rnacentral:rRNA from 1 species